GAUGAACGCUGGCGGCGUGCCUAAUACAUGCAAGUCGAGCGAACAGAUGAGGAGCUUGCUCCUCUGACGUUAGCGGCGGACGGGUGAGUAACACGUGGAUAACCUACCUAUAAGACUGGGAUAACCUCGGGAAACCGGAGCUAAUACCGGAUAAUAUAUUGAACCGCAUGGUUCAAUAGUGAAAGACGGUUUUGCUGUCACUUAUAGAUGGAUCCGCGCCGCAUUAGCUAGUUGGUAAGGUAACGGCUUACCAAGGCAACGAUGCGUAGCCGACCUGAGAGGGUGAUCGGCCACACUGGAACUGAGACACGGUCCAGACUCCUACGGAGGCAGCAGUAGGGAAUCUUCCGCAAUGGGCGAAAGCCUGACGGAGCAACGCCGCGUGAGUGAUGAAGGUCUUCGGAUCGUAAAACUCUGUUAUUAGGGAAGAACAAAUGUGUAAGUAACUAUGCACGUCUUGACGGUACCUAAUCAGAAAGCCACGGCUAACUACGUG
rnacentral:rRNA from 1 species